rnacentral:lncRNA from 1 species
UGACCGGAUUUGGGGUUUUUUGGGAGAGAUUCGUGGUCGUCCAUGGUAGUCCCAGGCUGGAUCUGCGGUUUGUGUGAGGGAGAAGAGAAGAUUGGGAGAGAGGAAGGCCGCGGUUUGGCCGCCGGAGGACAGAGGGAGUGGCGAUGGCGGCUAGGUUUUUGUUUGAGGAAUCUGAGCGAGGGAGAGGGAUGCGGCAGAGCAGCUGUUUUAGCCGGAGGUCGAGGCUGGAAAGGGUGGCUCCUUCUCUCUCUUCGAGUAUUAUCCUAACUUGAUGUAGCUCAAUUCUUCAUGCGAUGUAUAGGAGUUCNCGCGGCUCAGGGGCAGCGGUCGUUGGGUGACUGGUGGCCGGAAGCGGGCCUCUUGCAGGGUAAUCGAAGGAGGAGAAGUUUGGUGGCCGGAUUUGGGGUUUUUUGGGAGAGAUUCGUGGUCGUCCAUGGUAGUCCCAGGCUGAAUCUGCGGUUUGUGUGAGGGAGAAGAGAAGAUUGGGAGAGAGGAAGGCCGCGGUUUGGCCGCCGGAGGACAGAGGGAGCGGCGAUGGCGUGUUUGAGGAAUCUGAGCGAGGGAGAGGGAUGCGGCAGAGCAGCUGUUUUAGCCGGAGGUCGAGGCUGGAAAGGGUGGCUCCUUCUCUCUCUUCGAGUAUUAUCCUAACUUGAUGUAGCUCAAUUCUUCAUGCGAUGUAUAGGAGUUCAUAGAGCAGGUAGGGAAAGACGGCGUUGAGUCGGACGAGCAGCGACGGCGGCGUUUGCCACUGCUUGAUUCGAGAAGGGGGGCAGCGCGUGCCUGCGUGGGACGAAGGUGGCGGCCGCGGCCGUGGCUCACCGCUGUCGCCGGAGGACAGAGGGAUGUGGCGGCGGUUCUUCUCGCCUGGCCAAGGGUGGACCUCAGCGGUGGCCACCCGAGUUUUAGGCUAACCUCAGAUGCACUCAACAACAAAUUCAAGCUGCAAUCCAUCUUGAAUUCUAGCUCGAAUGUGACUAUUUCGAACUUUUCAAGUAGGAUUUACAGCUGAAAUCAGGUGCUUUAAUUGAAGUGCGGUUAUUAUGUCUUUCAAUGCGAUUAUAGAUUUGAGUGAGGAGUUCGUUUUGCUUUUGUGAAUCUGUAUUUCACAGCCUGUAUCUGCGUCGUAUCAUCAAUUUGAAUUUCUGAUUUGUAUUAUCUGUGUUUGCUUGUUUGAGAUGGAGUUUGAGCGGGAGAUGAAGUUGAGCGGUCGGAGAGGCGAGGUGGGCGGCGGCAGCAGCCGGGUGUUGCCGACUGCCGCUGCUGAUUUGUGCAGCGAAGGAGACGAGCUGGGGGAGUUAAAUUCCAGCAGCUUUCCGCCAGAGACUUCAAGGUGAGUAUUUGCAUAAGGUCGUGGGUUUAUAUCCCACACAUUGCGAUUAUGUGUUGCUUUGACAAAAUCUGCUUUGCUUGGUUUUAAACCAUAAAUAAAUUACUUGCUUUCAUCACUAAUUUAGUAAUUUGCUUCGCUUGGUUUUAUUGUUGGUACCGUGCCUCAUUGAGGCCUCUAUGUGUGGAAUUUUUGAAAUGGUAUAUUUGACAAUUGUGUAGCAGCUGAAAUUGUUUAUUUUUAAAUUAGUAGAAUUGCAGCUAUUUUUUCCUUCUUUGCUGGUGAUGAAGUAUGAUUUUUAUGUGGAAAAAUGAAGUGAACUAGUAGAAUAGUCUGUUUUGAGUCUAUGCAAUUUGAGAGUCUGCUUAAACUUAGUAAAUAUGCAAUCUUUAUUAUUUUUGACUGCUGGUGGUUGAGUGCCUUUGCUGGUAUUAUAUUUCAGGAGGUCAUUUGGUUUUGUCUUGUCUGAGUGGCAAUAAGAGUAGCAAUAGCCUAUAUUUCGUUCUUCAUUUCUUAUUUUUCUUCAUUUCAGUUAGUAGGCUGUGAAAGAGGGAGCUAUGCAGCAGGAGAGAGCCAAUGUCAUUUAUUCAUUUAUUUAUGGAUUUUUUGUUUGCUUUUUGGAG